UGCGUAGGCGGGUUUCUAAGUCAGAGGCGAAAGCCUGGAGCUCAACUCCAGAACUGCCUUUGAUACUGGAAGUCUUGAGUAUGGCAGAGGUGAGUGGAACUGCGAGUGUAGAGGUGAAAUUCGUAGAUAUUCGCAAGAACACCAGUGGCGAAGGCGGCUCACUGGGCCAUUACUGACGCUGAGGCACGAAAGCGUGGGUAGCGAACA
rnacentral:rRNA from 1 species